rnacentral:rRNA from 1 species
AUUGAACGCUGGCGGCAUGCCUUACACAUGCAAGUCGAACGGUAACAGGUCUCCGGAUGCUGACGAGUGGCGAACGGGUGAGUAAUACAUCGGAACGUGCCUAGUAGUGGGGGAUGACUACUCGAAAGAGUGGCUAAUACCGCAUGAGAUCCACGGAUGAAAGCAGGGGAUCGCAAGACCUUGUGCUACUAGAGCGGCCGAUGGCAGAUUAGGUAGUUGGUGGGAUAAAAGCUUACCAAGCCGACGAUCUGUAGCUGGUCUGAGAGGACGAUCAGCCACACUGGGACUGAGACACGGCCCAGACUCCUACGGGAGGCAGCAGUGGGGAAUUUUGGACAAUGGGCGAAAGCCUGAUCCAGCAAUGCCGCGUGCAGGAUGAAGGCCUUCGGGUUGUAAACUGCUUUUGUACGGAACGAAAAGCCCCGGGUUAAUACCCUGGGGUCAUGACGGUACCGUAAGAAUAAGCACCGGCUAACUACGUGCCAGCCGCCGCAGUAA